rnacentral:lncRNA from 1 species
GGGGUUGGUUGGUGUGACAGAAGUCCAAUGUUACCCUGGAACAGCAGCUGAAGGCCCAACAGGAUGCUCCAGGGCACCUCAAAAGGCAUUAGGCAGAGUCAGGAGGUCUGAACCUACAAAGAAUUCCUAGAGUGUCAGAUUUUGCUGUGUGCAGUACUGGUGUUGGCCAUGGUGGUGCACUGUUCUGAACAGUGGUGAUAAGCAAACUGAAUGUUACCUUUCCUGGUUUUAAUGACAACUAGACAGUGCCCCUGCAAUAGGUAUAUACAUAUGAUUAUGUUAAGGACAAGCUGUCAGGUCAUGUGGAAAACCACGAGCAUCUUUCUAUUUAAUUUCUCGUGGGGCUUCAUUUACAUUUGAUACACAGAAACAUGAGUAAAUAAUGCACUGUCUUUUGAAGAAAAUAAGCCCUUAGUAAUAGAAGAGAUUGUCUAAGUGCUGUAUGACUGCAUAGGGAUUAGACCACUCAACUGGAAGACGAGAACUGGAUAACCACCUGUGUGAGGCUUAGACUCUCACUUGCAGAGAUGCUUUUCAGAGGCAGGUGCUUAAACACUUGCUUCCUUCAGAACAUACCUGCAUUAGAUGGCUCUCAAGAACAUUCCUCCGCCCAACCUAUGAAACACUCCCAAUGUCUUAAGCAAGCUUAAGGCAACAUAACACAAGCUCAAGACUUGGUAAGGACUAAACACC